AAGACUAUACUUUCAGGGGUCAUUUCUGUAGUUGGUCACUAGAGGAGAGUGAUCGCACCUGACCGGCGUCACAAGCCACGAGGAGGAGCGGGGUGUUCUCUCCUGCGCGCGAAGCGGGCGGGCGGUGCUGCGCGGUCAGGAGCCGCCCGCCAUUGAUGACCGUUCCCGGUGCCCUUCGGGGCUCGGGAGGGAGAGAGCACGGGCUGAGUGGU